rnacentral:lncRNA from 1 species
UUACAUGCUGAGUUCCUUCACUGGCAGGGUCCAAGCGACAUUGGGGAUGCCAAUUUACAUUCAGGAAGCACAAAAGUUCACUUGUACAUUUCCUAACAAUGCUAAGGAGUUAUCAAACACAUGUUUCGAAGACUCUGACUUUAUAAGGAGAAGAUGAGACUCGCCUCAGCUCUUUCUCAACUACUGCCCUCCGUUCUCCAGGAUGGCAUUCCCAGCUGAGACCUGCACUGUGAUGGUAUUCAUUCCUUCUGAAGUAAAUCUGAAGGAUAUGCUUCCCUCCAAGAUUUUCCUGCCUGUAACCUUUCACCACCCGAAUCCAUCCUCCAAAUGGCUGCAACAGUAAUUUUUCUAGAAAGCGAAGCUGAUCAUGUUACUCAUACUUGUUCAAAAUUAAGAUUCCCGUGAUUGGGAAUGUGAUGUGGUGUGGUGGCUCAUGCCUGUAAUCCCGACACUUUUGGAGGCCGAGUUGGGUGGAUCAUGAGGUCAAGAGAUCGAAACCAUCCUGGCCAACAUGGUGAAACCCCAUCUCUACUAUAAAUGCAAAAAUUAGCUGGGCAUGGUGGCAUGCACCUGUAGUCCCAGCUACUCAGGAGGCUGAGGCAGGAGAAUUGCUUGAAUCCGGGAAGCAGAGGUUACGGUGAGCCAAGAUCACACCACUGCAC